rnacentral:lncRNA from 1 species
UAAGACUCAUAUAGUCAAUUGCUCAAGCUGUGAUAUGCUGACAUUUUCGCAUGGAUUUAAACUCAAACACCUUUGAAACUUAAAACAAAAUCAAUAUGUUAUCUUCUAUGUAAAACACUUAAUCUACAUAAGUUAGCAUCAUAAUCUCUGUUCAUAUGUGUGUCUCAUGUUUAUGUAAAAUGCACACGUGUGCCACAUUUUCUUUCUCACCUUUCUUAUGUCCCCACUAUACUUCAAGUCAUCGUAACCUAACUUUUAUAUCGAGAAAUGUGCUACUUAUUCCAAUUUUAGAAUCUAUUUUAAAUUCUUAAUUCACUUUUUCUGGACACAUUUUCC